rnacentral:rRNA from 1 species
UACGUAGGGUGCAAGCGUUACUCGGAAUUACUGGGCGUAAAGCGUGCGCAGGCGGCUUUGCAAGACAGAUGUGAAAUCCCCGGGCUUAACCUGGGAACUGCAUUUGUGACUGCAUGGCUGGAGUGCGGCAGAGGGGGAUGGAAUUCCGCGUGUAGCAGUGAAAUGCGUAGAGAUGUGGAGGAACACCGAUGGCGAAGGCAGCCCCCUGGGCUAACACUGACGCUCAUGCACGAAAGCGUGGGGAGCAAACAGG